rnacentral:lncRNA from 1 species
GCCAUAUUAAAAAAAAACAGAUGUUCAUAAAAGAUUCUGUUAGGAGUUUGGAAAUUGCCUCCAUUGUGGGGUUUUGUUUUAAGGACUUAAAAAAAAGCUCCUCAACUUCAACAUUUAACUUCUCAGGUUCUGGCCUCUGAGGAAGGAAUCAUCUGCUGAGUGCCUCAACUUCCUGAAGAAGCUGUGGGAAGGGCAGGGCAACUUAGAGUUGAAUCAAAAGCAGCUGAAUUGCCAACAGGGAGAUCUGCCAUGGAGGGGAUGAGAGAAGACCUCAUCAGUGAUGGGCGUCAGUGAGAUUGCUGGAAAAACUAUGCUGGUGUGCAAAGGAUGCAGGAAGGAGGCAGCAUCUCUGCAGAGAAAGAGUUCCACUCACAGCCUGGUUAGGCUAACCUGGAAGAAAGGGAAUGGGAAGGAAGAAGGGAAGAAAGUGGAAUACAUGCUGCUGUGAUCUACUGCUACAGUGGCUCAAAAAACUCAGAGGAGCUCAUGUAUUUUUCAGUGUUGACUACCCUCGUUUUGCAGGUGCUGAGUUUGUUUCCCAUUCAGUGGCUGCUAUUUGCCUCAUGGUGUUUGGCAUUCGCCUUGCAAUCUCCAAGUGAGCCAGUGAGGUCUUCUUUGGUGCCCAGCCACUUCUAAUCAAACAAGCAUGUUUCUGGGGGAUGGCAAAGGCAGGUAAAAUCACUGUCUUUGUCCUGUGAGUGCUUCACUGACCCAAGUGACAGCCUCUCCAUACACCCUUCUGGGUUGUGGUUUUGGUAUGAUGAAGGAGUUGUCAGGAGGAAUGCUGGGCAGAAAUGAGGCAGACACUUUUAAUAAGACCAACAGUUUGAAAAUUUCG